ensembl:lncRNA
CAUCGGUGCCGGAGUGGUAUGGGAAGAAGCGAUCGCUGCUCGCCUGCUCCCCACAACAGCUCACCCGCCUUUCGCUUAAUUAAAAUCAUAUAUUGGUGUGAUCAGACGUGGUAAUGCCAUUAAAAAAAAAAACAAAUCCCGUAACAUCCACCCACUCGUUGUUGGAGACUGUAGCCAAGAGAUGUAGAUUUUCCUUGGGAGAUUUGGGAAGGAUUAUUUUUUAAUGAAAAAGAGGAAAAAAAUACACCCAGAAAAAAACAAAAACGAACCAAAACAAACAAUGAAAAAGAAACAAAAAGGAAAAAAGCACGACAGAACCAAACCGCAGUAAGUGAAGCUGCAAAUGCAGCCGACUAGUCCGGAUCAGACAAUUCAUUGCACGAAAAAAGGAUAAAUGGAACUGCAAUGGCCGGCUUUGCUGUAGGUCCAGGAGGAGGGAUCAGCUCCUUUAUCCCACCAUCUCGCGCUACGAACACCACCAUUUUUUUCCCUUUCUCUCCUUUUUUUUUUUUUAAAUACGCUUUGUUGGGGCGUUUUGUUUCGAGCCGAGGCGGCUGCACCACCCCCCGAGCCGGGGCUGCCGGAGCCGCUCGGGGGCUUCACUUUUACAGAGAUCUCUUAUUUUUCCCCGGCCUCGUGCAGUCCUCUCCCUUUUAUUACAUGGGUUUGUUUUUUUUCCCCCUCUCCCCUCUGCGGGUAUAAAGGUUUCUCUCCUCUCUCCAGCUUGGCUGCUUGUUCCAGAAGUUUCCACGGGGGCGGGGAGCCCCCACUGCGGCGCCUUUGCCGCAGCGCCGGGCAGGAGGAGGAGGAGGAUGCGGAGGAUGCGCCACCUCUCCCUGGCUGGGAGCCUCAUUCCAAGCCGCUCCCCCUUGCUCCGUUCCCCCAGCCUUGAAAACACAGCACUGGGGAGGUGUUUGCAACUUGGAGGGGUUUUUUUUUUUUGGGGUUGUUUUUUGUUUUUGUUUUUUUCCCCCCUCUAAAUAAAUGGAAAGCAGAGCUGUCGCUGAUGGAGAUGGAUGAGGCAGGGCUGGCAGCGCCGCAGCUCUGCUCCGGCGUGGCCGUGGCACCGAUGGCAUAAGUGACCUUUCCCAGGCGGUGGGAGAGGGGAUUCCCCCCCCGCCCCAGCAUGCUCCUGCUCGGAAUUCAUUUUAAAUAGCAGGAAUAUUAUUUUUUAUUUUCCUUCCCUCCUCCCGUUUCUCCUUCACUGUUUGGUUUUGUUUGUUUUUUGGUUGUUUUUUUUUUUUUUUCUUCCCCGAAGCUUCCUCAUGAUCUUUUAUUUUUUUUCCUGUGUGUGUUUUGAAUUGCAUUUUAAAAUUGCCCAGCUGGAGACAAGGCUUGAUUAGAGCUGGAACAAUAGCUCCCUUUUAUUAAUAACGGGAAGGAUUUACAAUCCUACAGCACCUUCCUUGGAAAGCUUUCCAAACCAUUUGCAAACACUCACAAAUUUCAGAUUGUGCAGCCCUUGGCUGUGAGUCCCUAAGUGACCUCCUGCAGCGCUGCCUCCACUGCGGUUCCAGCGCAGCCUUGCACUGGAGCACUAAUGUGUGUCCCUGCGAGCCAGAGUGACCUUGCUGGGGGACUGGACCCACCGAGUGAUUCAGCAGAUCCCUACGAACCACGCAGGGAUCCAGGAGUCACCCAGGCAGUGGGAUCUGGCCUUGCCAGAAGCAUGAGGGACAAGGCUCCAGCCAUGUCUGCAUGUGUCACACACGGGCCACACAAACCCACAGUGUUCCUGUGGUUGCUUCUGUCUGCAGAGCAUCAGUGGGUCCCAGGACUUCCCCUUCCCACUGCUUGCUGGUUCACAAAGGCUGAUGCUUCUGGAAAAAGCUCUGCCUUGUGGCCUUUAAAAUAAAUAAAUAAAGC